rnacentral:tRNA from 1 species
GCCUGGGUGGCUCAGUCGGUUGAGUGUCUGACUUCGGCUCAGGUCAUGAUCUCGCGGUCCGUGGGUUCAAGCCCUGCAUCGGGCU